UACAGAGGGUGCAAGCGUUAAUCGGAAUUACUGGGCGUAAAGCGUGCGCAGUCGGUUAUUUAAGUCGGAUGUGAAAUCCCCGGGCUCAACCUGGGAAUUGCAUUCGAUACUGGAUGGCUAGAGUUCGGCAGAGGGAAGUGGAAUUUCAGGUGUAGCGGUGAAAUGCGUAGAUAUCUGAAGGAACAUCAGUGGCGAAAGCGACUUCCUGGACCAGAACUGACGAUCAGGCACGAAAGCGUGGGGAGCAAACAGG
rnacentral:rRNA from 1 species